GACUGCGUGAAGCUGGAAUCGCUAGUAAUCGCGGAUCAGCAUGCCGCGGUGAAUACGUUCCCGGGCCUUGUACACACCGCCCGUCACACCACGAGAGUUUGUAACACCCGAAGUCGGUGAGGUAACCUUUUGGAGCCAGCCGCCGAAGGUGGGACAGAUGAUUGGGGUAAGUCGUAACAAGGUAGCCGUAUAGGAA
rnacentral:rRNA from 1 species